rnacentral:rRNA from 1 species
CCUACGGGUGGCAGCAGUGAGGAAUAUUGGUCCAUGGGCGCGAGCCUGAACCAGCCAAGUCGCGUGAGGGAAGACGGUCCUAUGGAUUGUAAACCUCUUUUGUCGGGGAGCAAAAGACGCCACGCGUGGCGUUCCGAGAGUACCCGAAGAAAAAGCAUCGGCUAACUCCGUGCCAGCAGCCGCGGUAAUACGGAGGAUGCGAGCGUUAUCCGGAUUUAUUGGGUUUAAAGGGUGCGCAGGCGGAAGAUCAAGUCAGGUGUUAAAGGCGCAGGCUCAACCUGUGUAUGGCACUUGAUACUUGCAAGCUGGAAUGCGGUAGAGGUAAAGGGAAUUCCUGGUGUAGCGGUGAAAUGCUUAGAUAUCAGGAGGAACAUCGGUGGCGUAAGCGCUUUACUGGGCCGUAAUUGACGCUGAGGAACGAAAGCCAGGGUAGCAAAUGGGAUUAGAUACCCUAGUAGUC